GCCGAUGUGGCUCAGUGGUAGAGCAGCUGAUUCGUAAUCAGCAGGCCGUGGGUUCAAAUCCCAUCAUCGGCU
rfam:Nostoc sp. PCC 7120 DNA, complete genome.